UCGGGAAUUUUGGGCAAUGGGCGAAAGCCUGACCCAGCAACGCCGCGUGAAGGAUGAAGUAUUUCGGUAUGUAAACUUCGAAAGAAUAGGAAGAAUAAAUGACGGUACUAUUUAUAAGGUCCGGCUAACUACGUGCCAGCAGCCGCGGUAAUACGUAGGGACCAAGCGUUGUUCGGAUUUACUGGGCGUAAAGGGCGCGUAGGCGGCAAUUCAAGUCAUCUGUGAAAUCUCCGGGCUUAACUCGGAACGGUCAGAUGAUACUGCUUUGCUAGAGUGCAGAAGGGGCAAUCGGAAUUCUUGGUGUAGCGGUGAAAUGCGUAGAUAUCAAGAGGAACACCUGAGGUGAAGACGGGUUGCUGGGCUGAUACUGACGCUGAGGCGCGAAAGCUAGGGUAGCAAACGGGAUUAGAUACCCAAGUAGUCCCUGAGCGGGCUGGCAAGGCGCAU
rnacentral:rRNA from 1 species